UUCCGUAGGUGAACCUGCGGAAGGAUCAUUACAGAAUGAAAGUGCUUAACUGCAUUUUUUUACACAUGUGUUUUUCUUUUUUUUUGAAAACUUUGCUUUGGUGGGCCCAUGGCCUGCCAGAGAUUAAACUCAACCAAAUUUUAUUUAAGUCAACUGAUUAACUAAUAGUCAAAACUUUCAACAACGGAUCUCUUGGUUCUCGCAUCGAUGAAGAACGCAGCGAAAUGCGAUAAGUAAUAUGAAUUGCAGAUAUUCGUGAAUCAUCGAAUCUUUGAACGCACAUUGCGCCCUUUGGUAUUCCAAAGGGCAUGCCUGUUUGAGCGUCAUUUCUCCCUCAAACCUUCGGGUUUGGUGUUGAGCGAUACGCUGGGUUUGCUUGAAAGAAAGGCGGAGUAUAAACUAAUGGAUAGGUUUUUUUCCACUCAUUGGUACAAACUCCAAAAUUCUUCCAAAUUCGACCUCAAAUCAGGUAGGACUACCCGCUGAACUUAAGCAUAUCAAUAAGCGGAGGA
rnacentral:rRNA from 1 species